UACAGAGACUGCAAGCGUUAUUCGGAUUCACUGGGCGUAAAGGGUGCGUAGGCGGGCAGGUAAGUCCGUGGUGAAAUCUCUGAGCUUAACUCAGAAACUGCCAUGGAUACUAUUUGUCUUGAAUAUUGUGGAGGUAAGCGGAAUAUGUCAUGUAGCGGUGAAAUGCUUAGAUAUGACAUAGAACACCAAUUGCGAAGGCAGCUUACUACACAGUUAUUGACGCUGAGGCACGAAAGCGUGGGGAUCAAACAGG
rnacentral:rRNA from 1 species